rnacentral:rRNA from 1 species
CUAGUCUGCCCAAUGAUUUAUUUAAUGGCUGCAGUAUCUUAACUGUACGAAGGUAGCAUAAUAAUUUGUCUUUUAAUUGAAGGCUUGUAUGAAUGGCUGGACGAGGAACUUACUUUUUUUAUUCAAUUUUAAUGAAUUUAACUUUUUAGUAAAAAGGCUAAAAUUUUUUUGCAAGACGAGAAGACCCUAUAGAAUUUUAUUUAUAAAUAUGAAUUAAGUUUUAGGAUUCAUUAAUAAUUUUAUUUAUGUUUAUAUAUUUUGUUGGGGUGACAGUGAAAUUUAAAUAACUUUCAUAUUUAUAUUUUCAUUAAUUUAUGUAUUUUUGAUCCCUUUAUUAGGAUUAUUAGAUUAAAU